rnacentral:rRNA from 1 species
UACGUAGGGUGCGAGCGUUAAUCGGAAUUACUGGGCGUAAAGUGUGCGCAGGCGGCCGAGCAAGUCGAGUGUGAAAGCCCCGAGCUUAACUUGUGAAUUGCGCUCGAAACUACUUGGCUGGAGUGUGGCGGAGGAAGGUGGAAUUCCGGUGUAGCGGUGAAAUGCGUAGAUAUCGGAAGGAACACCAGUGGCGAAGGCGGCUUCCUGGACUAAUACUGACGCUGAGGUGCGAAAGCGUGGGGAGCAAACAGG